GAGUUUGAUUAUGGCUCAGGAUGAACGCUGGCGGCGUGCUUAACACAUGCAAGUCGAACGAACGACUAUUAACAGAACCUUUCGGGGCGAAGAAUAUAGAAGUUAGUGGCGGACGGGUGCGUAACGCGUGGGUAAUCUGCCUUUGUCAAAGGAAUAACUAUUCGAAAGAAUAGCUAAAACCGUAUAACAUAUUAAUAGGGCAUCCUAAUAAUAUCAAAACGAUAGUGGACAAAGAUGAGCCCGCGUCUGAUUAGCUAGUUGGUGAGAUAAAAGCCCACCAAGGCAACGAUCAGUAGCCGACCUGAGAGGGUGAACGGCCACAUUGGAACUGAGACACGGUCCAAGCUCCUACGGGAGGCAGCAGUGGGGAAUAUUGCACAAUGGGGGGAACCCUGAUGCAGCAACGCCGCGUGAGUGAAGAAGGCAUUCGUGUCGUAAAACUCUGUAGUAGGGGAAGAAAGAAAUGACA
rnacentral:rRNA from 1 species